rnacentral:rRNA from 1 species
AUUGAACGCUGGCGGCAGGCCUAACACAUUCAAGUCGAAUGGUAACAGGAAACAGCUUGCUGUUUCGCUGACGAGUGGCGGACGGGUGAGUAAUGUCUGGGAAACUGCCUGAUGGAGGGGGAUAACUACUGGAAACGGUAGCUAAUACCGCAUAACGUCGCAAGACCAAAGAGGGGGACCUUCGGGCCUCUUGCCAUCAGAUGUGCCCAGAUGGGAUUAGCUAGUAGGUGGGGUAACGGCUCACCUAGGCGACGAUCCCUAGCUGGUCUGAGAGGAUGACCAGCCACACUGGAACUGAGACACGGUCCAGACUCCUACGGGAGGCAGCAGUGGGGAAUAUUGCACAAUGGGCGCAAGCCUGAUGCAGCCAUGCCGCGUGUAUGAAGAAGGCCUUCGGGUUGUAAAGUACUUUCAGCGGGGAGGAAGGGAGUAAAGUUAAUACCUUUGCUCAUUGACGUUACCCGCAGAAGAAGCACCGGCUAACUCCGUG